rnacentral:lncRNA from 1 species
GAGAGUCCCUGAGUCCUCUGUAUUAGGAGGGAGAGAGGGGGCGCCAAAGUGACUUUUGUCUUCUCUUUCUUGGGAAUAGGCUGAAUAAUUACGCGCGUCCAGAAAAGGAGGGGAAGAGGAGGCGGGCAGCUUUGAGACGAGGCUGGCGGCAUCCAGUGAGUGCAAGCCCUGCACGAUGGAAUUGGGUCCACAAGGCAAGGAAGGUGGUAGAGCAAGAUUUUAACCUGGGAUCCAUGUAUUCGCCAGACUCACCACGGUCUCCUCAGCUUAGGGUCUGUGAGCCCCUGAAACUGGAUCCAGGCCCAGCUGCCCUCCC